rnacentral:rRNA from 1 species
GCAAGCGUUGUUCGGAAUUACUGGGCGUAAAGGGCUCGUAGGUGGCCAACUAAGUCAGACGUGAAAUCCCUCAGCUUAACUGGGGAACUGCGUCUGAUACUGGAUGGCUUGAGUUUGGGAGAGGGAUGCGGAAUUCCAGGUGUAGCGGUGAAAUGCGUAGAUAUCUGGAGGAACACCGGUGGCGAAGGCGGCAUCCUGGACCAACACUGACGCUGAGGAGCGAAAGCCAGGGGAGCAAACGGG